rnacentral:tRNA from 1 species
GGCAAAAUAGCUCAGUGAUUAGAGCGCGGAUUUACUGAUUCGAUGAUCCGUGGUUCGAACCCGACUUCUGCCU